CCCGAGGCCAGAGUCACAUCCUGGCGCGGCCGGUCGCCUCGGUGUGCUAGGGCUCUCGCAGAGCAAACUCUGACCUGUAUUUACUGCUUGGGUUUUGCCGUAGCUCAAUCAGUCACCGGGUCAGUGACAGGU